GCGCACGCUGGCGGCCGGCCUCACACCUGCAAGUCGAACGAACCUUUCGGGGUUAGUGGCGGACGGGUGAGUAACACGUGGGAACGUGCCUUUAGGUUCGGAAUAACUCAGGGAAACUUGUGCUAAUACCGAAUGUGCCCUUCGGGGGAAAGAUUUAUCGCCUUUAGAGCGGCCCGCGUCUGAUUAGCUAGUUGGUUGAGGUAAUGGCUCACCAAGGCGACGAUCAGUAGCUGGUCUGAGAGGAUGAUCAGCCACAUUGGGACUGAGACACGGCCCAAACUCCUACGGGAGGCAGCAGUGGGGAAUCUUGCGCAAUGGGCGAAAGCCUGACGCAGCCAUGCCGCGUGAAUGAUGAAGGUCUUAGGAUUGUAAAAUUCUUUCACCGGGGACGAUAAUGACGGUACCCGGAGAAGAAGCCCCGGCUAACUUCGUG
rnacentral:rRNA from 1 species